rnacentral:rRNA from 1 species
GACGAACGCUGGCGGCGUGCUUAACACAUGCAAGUCGAACGAAGUGGCGAACGGGUGAGUAACGCGUAAUCAACCUGCCCUUCAGAGGGGGACAACAGUUGGAAACGACUGCUAAUACCGCAUACUGAAGGAGGGGAUUGCGUGAGAUUAGCUCGGUGGGGGGGUAAAGGCCUACCAAGGCGAGGAUCCGUAACUGGUCUGAGAGGAUGAUCAGUCACACUGGAACUGAGACACGGUCCAGACUCCUACGGGAGGCAGCAGUGGGGAAUAUUGGACAAUGGGCGAAAGCCUGAUCCAGCCAUGCCGCGUGUGUGAAGAAGGUCUUCGGAUUGUAAAGCACUUUAAGUUGGGAGGCGUUACCAACAGAAUAAGCACCGGCUAACUUCGUGCCAGCAGCCGCGGUAAUUC